rnacentral:lncRNA from 1 species
GACUCAAAUGCAACGGCGUCGUUUUUUUCUGGUGAUUCCAUUGGAUGAUUCUAAAUUUUUUGAAAUUCAGAAUCUGAAAUAUAGAAACAAAAAAAGGAUUCGAGCUUUUGGUGAAGAAGGUGAAUCCAUCGGAUGAUUCUAAAUUUUUUGAAAUUUAGAAUCUGAAAAAUAGAAACAAAAAAAGGAUUCGAGCUUUUGGUGAAGAAGAUGCAGACCUAUUAAUGAUGAUGAAGAUUGAGGAAUCAAAAAAUGGAUGCGCAUUGAAUUUUACAUACUCCGUACGUAUUAAUUUAUCAAUUUUAGCAGUGGUA